rnacentral:rRNA from 1 species
CCUACGGGAGGCAGCAGUGGGGAAUAUUGGGCAAUGGACGCAAGUCUGAACCAGCAACGCCGCGUGAAGGAUGAAGGCUUUCGGGUUGUAAACUUCUUUUAAGAGGGAAGAGAAGAAGACGGUACCACUUGAAUAAGCCACGGCUAACUACGUGCCAGCAGCCGCGGUAAUACGUAGGUGGCAGGCGUUGUCCGGAUUUACUGGGUGUAAAGGGCGUGCAGCCGGGAAGACAAGUCAGAUGUGAAAUCCCGCGGCUCAACCGCGGAACUGCAGUUGAAACUGUUUGUCUUGAGUAUCGGAGAGGUAAUCGGAAUUCCUAGUGUAGCGGUGAAAUGCGUAGAUAUUAGGAAGAACACCAGUGGCGAAGGCGGAUUACUGGACGAUAACUGACGGUGAUGCGCGAAAGCGUGGGAAGCAAACAGGAUUAGAUACCCGUGUAGUC